UCUUUAUAUAAACAAAGAAGGGAACUGGUCUGAGUUCUUCCUAAAUCCUUUAAGGGAGUUGACCCAUCUCACAUGGCAAAAUUGUGACAUCAAGUCACUGUUCAUAAUCAGGACUUUCGAUCUGUGUUCUGAUUCUGACUUUCCUGGGUCAGGUUAUACACACUGCAGCACCUUCUCACCUAUAUUUCUCCCCUCCUGCUUUUUCUGUCUGCUUAGACUUUAAGCUGCUGGAAAUGAUCUGUUCCUGGUACAGAGGGACUUCAGUCUCAAUCAAGGUCUCUAGAUGCUAAGUUGCCCCUCACCGUAAGUCUGCAACAGAUAGGUGGGAAAUCACAGAAGCAGCAAAAGCCAUGGUUUCACUCAGUACCUGUUCCUCAGAUCUCCAUACUGAGUGAUUUACUGGAAUCUUCCAGUGAGAACAACAAUAUCUGCACCAGGUUCCUUGUCUCCCUGCAAAUUGUUGGUGGAAAAGUUGAUGAUAAUUCUAAUAAACUGUUACUCUUUUGUACAUUCGAAUGUUGGACAUCUGUAGCUUGGAUCCUGGAGGCUGCUUGUUUCUGUACAGCUUUACAGAGUUUGUGUUUAAUUAACAAGUAACUUAAUUAUUUCCCUCUUUAGUCUCUAACAAGUGGUAACAGCAUAUACUUCAGAAAGUCAAGCGUGGUACUUUCUUUUCCACAGGAGAUACUUAGCUCCAGGCCUGGAAAAGGGCCAGAGCACACAGGGACACUGUUUCACAGUAACAUUUUGUACCUUAUUUAAAAAACAGCAAUAACAACAACAA